AUAUAUAUAUAUACUUGUUAACACGCUACUAACGUACGCAGUGCAGCUUUCGCUAUCUGUGAAUCGGUAUCGAGUGUGGAGGGAGGACCUAGAGGAAUAAGACGAAGGCGACUUCGACGCUCGCGACAACGAAGUUCAACGCCGACGAAUGCUGGCCAGACAGGCAGUAAUGCCGGCCCAUGCGACCAAUCAACAAUGAACAGCAAGGAAGGAACACCCGCGAACGACGUUUCCGUGUCUAACAACAGUUCGCAAGGACCUAAGGGCCAAAGAGAACAUCGGUCUCGUCCUCCUCGUAUGCAGCAGAGCAAUAAGCCUAAAGAAGCUCUGGUUAAUGGUACCAGUGGCUAAGCGACCGUUACGUUGUCAUCAAUCGCUACCAACGUUGCCACGUUACACCUGAUGAGCUAUCAACUCCCAGCACGUAACAUGACGCAUACCGACGCAAGGACUACACGAUUAUGGAACGCGACAUGAUUAGUCUACGCUCGUUGUUAAGACUGUUUGCUACCGAUAAGAAUACGACAGUUGUUUAAGAAAUCGUCAUUCUCCUUAAACACAUUUAAGGAUACAUAUUAAUAUCCAUGCAUGGUUUAGUUUAAUGAUGGUAAUUACACUGUCAUGUUUGAUAUACGGAUACAUUCAUUGGGAGAUAGAGGAUAGCAUUUGGUAAGAAGGAUUCCCUGAUUGUGAAACUGUGCCUCAUUUUUAUACCAAGCUCCUAACUUAUGUGGCAGUGCUUCGGAUGUACCGCACGGUAUACCUUAGUCACUCGUUAACAUUUAACGAUUCAAUAUUAGGCUGGAUAAUCGCGGUUCGCGUACGUCAAUUAUCGCUCUGGAUAGGUUUUCAUCUAGAUAUGUCGCUCAGUACUUAGAAAUAAUUCGGUACUUCCAGUAUGUGAUUAUCAUUCCGAUGUCGUUUCGAUAUCGAGUUUAUUUAGUUUAGCUUAAUAGACUCACAUCGGCGAAUGGAGAGAAAUUAUUCAACGAAUUCUUUUCAUGAAUAUUCCAUAAUUGAAAUUAAAGUAAAAAUGUUGGUUAUCCGAUACUUUGUUACUUUAUCUUGACGUAACAUUUUCUCGUUACUUUGAUACGCUAUUGGACACAAAUACUGAAAACCGAAACGAACGCGACAUAACUGAGAUGCAAUUCGAUGCGGUACAAGGAAAAUGGAUUUCCGUUGUUAAUCGUAACAAUGGUAAGUGGCAGCUGUAGGAAAUUCUGAUUCAAAGGUGUUCCCAAUGAUGUUCCUUUCUAUUUACUUGAGGAAAUUGAGUUUUUGAUUUACGAUUAUUAGUAGAGUUAUUUAACAACACUAGAUUUUUAUGUUUCAAUACUGAGUGUUGAUUAAUAGUAUCAUGAUUGCGAAAACGCGAUGUGACCUAUUCAAAUGUUACACGGUCAAAUGUGCACACGGAGUCGGUUUUUAUUUCCGAAUACACUUUUCACGUAAUUUA
rnacentral:misc_RNA from 1 species